rnacentral:rRNA from 1 species
UACAGAGGGUGCAAACGUUGCUCGGAAUUACUGGGCGUAAAGCGCAUGUAGGCGGAUCCAUAAGUCGGGCGUGAAAUCCCCCAGGCUCAACCUGGGAACUGCGCUCGAAAACUGUGGGUCUCGAGUGUCGGAGAGGAUGGCGGAAUUCCUGGUGUAGAGGUGAAAUUCGUAGAUAUCAGGAGGAACACCGGUGGCGAAGGCGGUUCUCUGGGCCUUACCUGACACUGAGGAGCGAAAGCGUGGGGAGCGAAACAGG